GAUGAAGAACGCAGCGAACUGCGAUAAGUAAUGUGAAUUGCAGAAUUCAGUGAAUCAUCGAGUCUUUGAACGCACAUUGCGCCCCCUGGCAUUCCGGGGGGCAUGCCUGUCCGAGCGUCAUUGCUGCCCUUCAAGCCCGGCUUGUGUGUUGGGUCGUCGUCCCCCCCGGGGGACGGGCCCGAAAGGCAGCGGCGGCACCGCGUCCGGUCCUCGAGCGUAUGGGGCUUUGUCACCCGCUCGAUUAAGGCCGGCCGGGCGCCAGCCGGCGUCUCCAACCUUCUAUUUUACCAGGUUGACCUCGGAUCAGGUAGGGAUACCCGCUGAACUUAAGCAUAUCAAUAAGCGGAGGA
rnacentral:misc_RNA from 1 species